AUAGUUUAAACUACGGCAUAUGAACACGAUGUCUAUGAAAUGGCUCUCGCUUCUGCAGCUGGUACAGCUCACUUGCUACUUUAACUCUGGGAGUUGUGGAAAGGUGCUGGUGUGGCCAGUGGAAUUUAGUCACUGGAUGAAUAUGAAGACAAUUCUGGAUGAACUUGUGACGAGGGGUCAUGAGGUGACCGUACUGGAAUCUUCAGCUUCCACUCUUAUUGAUCCAAACAAACCAUUGGCUAUGAAAUUUGAGACUUUCCCUAUAUCUUUAACUAAAGAGGAUUUUCAGAAUGUUGCCAAGAUUUUGAUUGAGACUUGGAUGCUUGCGUGAAAAAUUACUUUUGGAUCCAUCUUUCAAGAAUGCAACAAUUAUUUGAGGAAUUUUCUGAUAUUGGUAUAAAGAUAUGUAGUGAAGUGGUUUCCAACAAGAAGCUUAUGACAAAACUACAGGAAUCAAGGUUUGAUGUCAUUCUUGCAGAUGCUGUUGGACCCUGUGGAGAGCUUCUGGCUGAAGUACUUAAAGUACCAUUAGUGUACAGUCUCUACUUCUCACCUGGCUAUUUGGUUGAAAAGAGGAGUGGAAGACUUUCAUUUCCACCAUCCUAUGUACCUGUUAUGUUCUCUGAAUUAAGUGAUCACAUGACAUUCAUGGAGAGGGUAAAAAAUAUGAUAUAUGUACUUUAUUUUGACUACUGGUUUCAGCUGUACAAUGAGAAGAAGUGGAGUCAGUUUUACAGUGAAGUACUAGGAAGGUCUACUACAUUAGUUGAGAUAAUGGGGAAAGCUGAAAUGUGGCUUAUUCAAAACUACUGGGAUUUUUCAUUUCCUCGCCCACGGCUACCAAAUGUUGAAUUUGUUGGAGGUCUCCACUGCAAACCUGCCAAACCCCUGCCUAAGGAAAUGGAAGAAUUUGUGCAGAGCUCUGGAGAACAUGGUAUUGUGGUGUUUUCAUUGGGAUCAAUGGUCAGUAACAUGUCAGAAGAAAGAGCCAAUGUGAUUGCAUCAGCCCUUGCCCAGAUUCCACAAAAGGUUCUAUGGAGAUAUGAUGGCAAAAAACCAGACACCUUAGGACCCAAUACUCGGCUGUAUAAGUGGAUCCCCCAGAACGACGUUCUUGGCCAUCCAAAAACCAAAGCCUUUAUAACUCAUGGUGGAAGCAAUGGCAUCUACGAGGCCAUCUACCACGGCAUCCCUAUGGUGGGCCUUCCUUUGUUUGCUGAUCAACCUCAUAACGUUGUUCACAUGACGGCCAAGGGAGCAGCUAUCAGAUUGGACUUGGAAACAAUGUCAACAGAAGAUUUGCUCAAUGCAUUGAAGGAAGUCAUUAAUAAUCCUUUCUACAAAGAGAAUGUCAUGAGGUUAUCAGCCAUUCAACAUGAUCAGCCUAUGAAACCCUUGGACCGAGCGAUCUUCUGGAUUGAAUUUGUCAUGCGGCACAGAGGAGCCAAGCACCUGCGGCCCGCCGCCCACGACCUCACCUGGUUCCAGUACCACUCUCUGGACGUGAUCGGGUUCCUGCUGGCCUGUGUGGCAACUGCUGUGUUUGUCAUCACAAAGUGCUGCCUGUUUUGUUGCCGAAAGUGUGCUAGCAUAGGAAAGAAGGGGAAAAGAGACUAGCUGUUUCUGAGAUGUCUAGCAGGUUUGCCACAUAAAUACAACUCCUCAUAUUUAUUACAGUAAGAUGAAUUAUGAUCAAGUUCAACUCCUCUUGUGACAAAAUGUAAAUUUUACUUUCAAGGAAUUUUCUACCUGACAAAAAGUAUGUCUUGCCAAGAGAAAACACUGAUGAAAAAUGAAAUAAAUAAUAAAACUAUAUGCAUACAUA